UUCAUCUUGAAACGUAUUGUCAAGUGUUCGAUGAAUAUUUGCAAGAAAUGUAUGGUUAUGACAUCAAUCAAGAAAAUAUUGACAAAUAUUGAUUUUUUCUUUCUAUCAUGAUCGACUUUUUCCAAUAUACCAUAUUCGAAAUUUGACUGAAUAUAAAUUUAAAUGUUAUAUGUAUGCAUAGAUUUCAUUAACGGAUAGAUACACUCGUAUCACAUUCGAACACAUUCGGAUUUCAAUAUUUCCGGUUACUCGAUUGCUAUGCGUCGAAUCUCAAUUAAUUUUGCUUUAGAAAAUGAAAACACUGUUUGAAUUUUCCAGAUCAGUAUUUUUUUAAACGAACCUUUGUUAAUUACACACAAAAAUAAGUUUUUGCUUUAUUUCACACAAAAUUGUACACGAACAAAAUCGGCCAAUGGCAUUUGAGUGAAGUUGUUUCAGGAAACAAAAGCGAUAUAUCGAUACAUCGAUUAAGUUAUUCGUCUUGUUUAGACCAUAUUUUAUAUAAUUAUCCUAUUGGGUGACAUUAAAAUUUUUACUUCUUAAUUGGAACGCAUUAUCGAAUUAUAAAAAAUUUGCCAUGAAAUAACGAGUAUCGAAAGAACAAAGUUAUAUUUAAUAAUUAGUUUUUUGACAACUGAAAGAAAUUAUCCGAUUGUUUAACUAUCACUAAUGCGGUUUCUCAAGAUCUUUACACUUCUUUUUUCAAGGCACUACUUCUUACCGAGACAAUUGCUUGGAAGACAGCCGGUAGCAAGUGUCGCUUCUCUGGCCGCACAAAGGCUCGAAUAACUCUGAACAAAGAGUGAUAAAAAACAAUUCAAUUCAAUAUGAUUUUAUUAGAAUAGAUAUUAUAUUAGGAAUAUAAUAGGAUUAUAAACAGAGGGCGGCACAUAUUCGUGUCACGGUCGUUAAGUGAACCCGUUUAUGUCAAACGAUGUAAGUACUCGUACAUAUAUCGGUCGUAAACGCGUCCGCUUAUUAAACUUCUGUAUUACGGUAUACAUACAAGCCGUAAUGAAUUUCAACGAUUGACAAAGAGACUGGAGAAACUUCGAUAUCCGAGUUAUGUGAAAAUUGAAGACUUGUAUUCAUGGCUUAUAUUAAACAUAACCUUAAAAAUGAUCGAAAUUAAUAGUUUCAAAUUUUUUCGAUUUUAAUAUUUAAGCAAAAAAUUACGGUUUUUAUUGUCCGUGAAAAGGUUAAUAGAUCAUGGUAUUCUCUUAUCUCAAAGGACUGCAACGAUGCUGUUGUAGUCUCGUAAAAACUACCCAAGGGAAAGAGAGCUAGCAAUCACCGAGAGCAUCGUUCGAAUCCCACUUGGGACUGGUAACAAUCAACCAGCAAUUCCGUUGAAAAAGGCAAUAGGCAUUUAGCCAAACAAAGAGAAAUCGUGUGACGAGAAUUCGUUAAAAAUUCGUCUAAUGUAUAUCAAAAAAUCUUAUAUAAGAACGAGCAUUUCAUAAGAAGCAUAACGUGUUUUCGCAUUAACGCGAAAUAUUAUUUUCAUUGUCUAUAGAACGAAACGAUUUUCAUUUAUAUAUUUCUUAAUUUGCUUAAUAAAGCAGUGGUUCCCAAUGUAGGUCGUAAAAUGUUUUUAGGAAUAUUAGAAUAAUCUUUUCGUUAUGUAUCUCAAAGUGCUGCUGUGACAAAAUCGUGUUAAUAGUACGAAGAAUUUAAAGAAAGAAGAGAAAGAAACUAAAAAAAAAUUAAAUGUAUUUAAUAUUUUCGCGGCAAAAAAGAAAAAAAAAUAACAAGAUUAUCAAAAUCGAUUCAGAGGUCGCGUUGCUGGUUACGUUUUAGCUAUUUGCGUUAAAGAGACCAGAACGUGAAAUGAGAAUCAAUAAUCGAAAGAAGGAUGAAUACGGAUGCGGUAGCAACGUGAUGUAGCCACGUGACUUAGAUUUACUCCGAUUUGCGUCGAAACGAAUAAUCUCUAUGCCUUACUGCGGGUUUAACGAAUGUUUGCAAUAAGGAUGAAGUUUCUAAACAUGGCUGUCCUAUUUUCUUGAAAUCAUUCGUACCUGAAUACUGACCGAACUUUAACUGGCUUCGAUUUGAAAGGACCCGCGUUCCCUUAGGUAUUUCCAGAUAGAACUUUUCGAAUAUUUAUACGAACAAACGAGCGUGUCUAUAUUGGAAAUAUCGCCAGAGAGCUAAAUCAGAAAUUGAGCAGACAAUGAACAGACAGGAAAUCGAUUCGAGGUGAGAACCACGCGAUAUACGAUACACUGAAAAUUAAUUUUGUAGGGCGUAGAAGAAGAAAAAGAAACUGAAAAGAACGACAAGACGUUACCCGUGAAGAUCUAUGGUAUCGAGACGAUAUUAAACCGAACAAGAUAACACUCUUGGAGAAGGUUCCUGGAUAUAUAAAUUGUUAUCAAUCAAGUUGGAUCCUGUAAUAAAAUAAGAAAGGAACGAUUUUCAAGAUGAAUUUCACAAGUGGUUACCUAGUGGUCGAAGGAGGAAAGUUUCUAAUUUUUAGGGAGAGACCAGAGAGUAACAAUAGCCAUACGGUCUACUAUUCCCCAGACGCUCCUCGCAUCAUCGAUCCUAUAUAACCUAACACAGUUUCUUCUCUCAUCCUCUGCUAUGGUAUCACGGAAAAACCAUGUUAUUGCUAACCUCCUCGCUUUCAACGUUGUCUCGAAGAAAUUACGCUUUUUCUUUCGGUAAGGCGAGGCGAAGAAAAAAAAUUUGCCACGCCUUUGUCGCUUCACCGUGUUUCACGUGAUCAAAUAUUGUUUUCACACUCUAAUGUGCAAUUCUGACCUUGGCCUACUUUAAUCAUCGCCAUUCAACAUAAUCGGGGA